GAAAGAGACAAAGCCCAGAGAGGAGGGGCUGGAUGGGGGUGGGAGUUUGGAGCUGGCUGGGGACUGGAAGGGAGGGCAGACGGGGGUCUGCCUCGCUGGGCCCUAGAAUGGACCCGGCAGAGGGGUCCCAUUCGCUGGACCUACAAGCUCUGUUUUAGACCGUGUUCCUGUCGUCUAAUAAACCUCUAUGUUACUGGCUGUCUGAGAGUCACGUCUGACUGCGACGUGGGGGUGCAGGACCCUCUGGCUUCCCCAGGACCCCGCCUGGGUGGACUCGCUGUGGGAAGCGCAUGGAGGGGCAGAUGCUGAAUGCUCCCAGGUCAGACCCAGGAGGUGAAGCCGUGUGAGCUUCUAGCCCUGGAUUCACCCCUCGGGCUCUGUUCCCCAGGGGACGCUCCCGUCUGUCUGGAUCAGACACAGCUCUAUCACCUGUCACUGCCUGCGCCGAUCCCGCUCCCUGUGCUAGGCGCUCUCGGCUAGUUCACUGUCAGUCCAGCCACAUCCCCCUGCGCUCUGGCCCUGUCCAGGGCCCAGCUCCACCCCGUGGGCUCUGUCCUGUGGGGGCUGCUCCCAGCCGUGCUGCAGCUGGGCCGGACGCUACCUGUCGCUUUCCAAGCGAUGCCCGACCCGUCCGAUCAGCGCGUCGAGUGCCCUGCUCUGUGCCCGUCUCUCCCUCCCGGCUCCGUCCUGUCUCUGCCCCCCGCCCCUCCGGGGCAUCUGUCCCCUGUGGGACGCCCCACUGCAGCUCUGACAGCAGAUUCCUGUCCACCUGGCGCCUCCGGCGUGUGGCCAUGCGGGGGGGUGUGUCGGUCUGUACCCACUAUUAGCCUACGGGUUGGCACCAGGCCCCCAGCCGUGCACCGGGUCUGUGUCCCCGUCUGAGAUCUGGGCGCUGCUGGCCCCGGUGCUGCCUCCUGGUGUGGGUAGCGGAUGGGGCAGAUCCCGGAGGGAGGAAGGGGAGGCACCAUCUCUCUGAGCUGCUGUUUUCUCCUUUGCUCUGUUGAUUCUCUCCUGGGACUUACUGGCUCCUUCCUGGUGCGCCUGCCCCCCACGGCCGCGCGCUGCUUGGUGCCCCCCAGCAAGGGGUGCUGGAGAGUGAAUUAGCCAGUGGGCAGGACAGGGAGGUCGGAGGGGGACAGGUGGAUGGGGGCUGCCCUGAGGGAAGAGGCAGGAGGGAUCCCAGUUCUGGCACCAAUGCCCCAGAGUGGCGCUAGGGGACCUGGGCUGCAGGGAGAGGGACAGGGGCUCAGUAGGGGGCGCUCUCCCCUGGCAGUCAGUGCUGUCCCCAAUGGGUGCUGGGGGGUGCUGGGCUGCAGGGAGCGGGGUGGGGGGAUUGUGGCUGAACCAUCUGAUCCAAAUCCCUUCCCCCACCCUCCACGUCUCUCCUCCAUCGCCCAGAUGCUCCUUCAGGUCUCUCUCUUGUCGCUGGGAUCGUCAUCGGGUCACUGGUGGGGGCGGCGCUGGUCGGAACCGGGGUCUAUCUCCUCUAUGCUCGCUGCCGGAAUGAAACCCCCAAGGAGAACGGGGCACCCGUCCUGGUGUACAAGAACCAGCCUCCUACAGCCUGGGUGGGGUCUGUGGCCCAGUCCGGGAACCCCCCUGACCCCAGCCCCACAUACCAGACGCUGCAGCCCCGACAGCCGGACAUGUACGAGGACCUGAAGAAGUGACGCCCCCUUCUGCCCCCCGGUGCAUGCUGGGAGGGGCCCGGGGCAUGCUGGGAAAGGCGAGUCCCUGAGCCUGGGUCCUGCUGCCCCGGGGAUGUCCCGUCGAUGAAGGGCAGGAACAGUCACCACCCACCCCAGGGGGUGCAUCCGUCUGUCUGUCCAUGCUGCUUCCCUGGGGCCCAUCACCGCAGCGUCUGGGCCCCUGUGAGGAAAUCAGAAAGUCGGCGCCUGUGACUGGCUCCAGCUCCGCUGUGCCCAGCACAGGAUUUGGUUUGGUGACGUCUCACGACCAAACACCCCCAGCCUGGGCACGUGCCCUGUUCUCUACCUGCCUGACCUGAGCCUGGCACUCUGUGUCCCACACCAGGCCGCGGGAGCUCCCCACUGCACAGAGGGGCCCAGGCGGCUCUGUGACCGGCCGGGUCCCACGGGGAGUCUGUGGGGCUGCAGGGACUCGGACCCGGGUCUCCCCAGUGCCCGGCUGGUGCCCAAACCAGGGCCAGGGCACCCUGCCCAGGGCUUCCCCCCAACCCUCCCCCCAGCGCCCGGCCCCGCAUCUUCUCCUCCCCGGGGCAGUUCUCCCCUACAGAGCUGUGAGCAGCGAAUCCGACCCGCCUGGCCGGGACCCGGGGCCCCUGGCGGAGGGCACAGGGGACUGAGAGGCUCGCGGGUCCCCGGGCUCUGACGUCUCCAGACCAGUCCCCAAAGGGGCUCCAGAGGUCCCUGCCCAGAGCCGGCAGCGCUGGGCGCGGUGACCGUGGUGAGCUGUGUGCCGGAGGCACGGCCGGAGCUGUGUCUGGCCUGGGUCCCAGCGGCUGGUUCCAGCCGGGCAGCGGGAGGCUCCAGGCCCAUCCCUGGCAGACAGGAGGCACUGGGCCGUUCUCUCUGUGCCCGGCUCUGGGGGCGCUGAACCGCACAGGAGCUGCCAGGGGUGGGUUCGGGACCUCGGGGCUCUGGGAAGCACAUUCCCAUUUUAUUCUCCAUUUCACCCAUUGUCCCGUUGGGUGAUACUGGGUCAGACCAAGGGUCCAUCUAGCCCAGUGUCCUGUCUGCUGACAGUGGCCAGUGCCAGGUGCCCCACAGGGAAUGAACAGAACAGGGAACCAUCCACUGAUCCAUCCCCUGUCGCCCAUU